rnacentral:tRNA from 1 species
UGGGGCGUCGGCAAGCGGUUAAGCCACCAGACUUUGACUCUGGCAUGCGUAGGUUCGAAUCCUACCGCCCCAG